rnacentral:lncRNA from 1 species
GUCGCUCUCCGGGACCCAGGCUGGGAAGAGGGGGAUGGCAUCCACAUCUGCCAGGAGUGGGGACAAAAAGGACAUCAGGUCAUCUCAAGCUGCCGCCUCCUUAGGUGGAGGGCAGAAACUCUCAUUAUCCCGCUCUGAAGAAUUCCUGUCCCGAAUCAGCACAGAACUUACAGAUGAAGCACUGUUUAUUGCUCGCUCCCAUUUGAGUAUACUGCCCAAUAAGGAAAAGAAUACAAAAGACCAAGGGACUCAGAUAUCUAGACCUGGUGAACUCUCUCCCUCUUCAUCUAGAGACCAGUCCCUGACUCCCUACCAUAGCUGAUCUCCCCAGGAAUCUGCCAAUUUUUUCCCUCCUCCUUGCCCAUCCUAGGCACAGUGCCCCUUACCUUCUAACUCACUCAUUGUCCCUAGCCAGGAAUCCCCUUUUCCCUACCUGCUCUAGCCACAACUCUUUCUAACCGUGGGGAAAGUUGUUCCUUUAACUGGGGCCUCUAAUUCCAGUGUUCUUCACCAAGACCCAAGGCACUGACACCCGUUCAUGAUUCUCAGCCUAUUCUGUUGUCUUCUGUCAUCUCCAGCUCUGACAAAAAUCGAACCCGAACCAAGGCACACCUUCUGCCAUCUCCUCGUGAAAAGGGACCACUCCCCAACAGCCUGACAACGGGAGGAUGAGCGCAGUCCUCCCUAGUACCGCUCUCUCUUGGCUUCUUGCCUUCCCCCACUAUGUCCCUCAAUGAAAACCUCAAAGCCCCUCUUUUGCAGCUGGCUAAGCCUCUCAUCUUGGGAGGAACUCCUGGUCAUAAGCAAUGCCACCUUUGAAACCAAGAAAAUCUGGAACUGUUGCAGGGCCCUCCACCCUCCCUGGGCAAACGCCACUGAGAAGAAAAGGUUUCAAUAAAGAACCAGGAUGCCCGCU